UAUAGUGCAGGCGGUUCGUAAACGCUCGGCGAUUUCCGAUGGCGAGGCGUGGAGCCUUCGGGUGAUCCCGGAAAGCCGGCGGUCGAGCCAGUCAGUUCAAACGCGUCGCAAGUGUCGCGCGUUUCGUCUUCUCAUUUCGCGGUGCGUUAUCGUCCCGUCGGCUAACGAGAAAACGCGCCGUAGAGACAGAAAAACGAAGGCAGGGAAAAUAAGGGAGGAGGGAAAACAGCGACACUGAGACCUAGCGGAUCACCGUUUCCCGUUUCGUGGCGAACGGUUUCGCGGCGAGACGUUGGGACUUACUAGCGCGAAGACGCGCUCGCCGGGUACGAGGAGUGCGUAGAUCACCGAACGAAAACGAGAGGAUCCUCCCGUGUCACAACGAAAGAGGCAGCGACACGCAGAGUCGUCGACCGUGGAGAAAAUGACGGAUGUGCAGGUGAAUCCGGGCAAGGACGACGCCGGCACCAGAUUGCAGCAGAACGACGACGACGACGUCACGCAGCGAACAGGUAAUCCAAGCUAGGCUGUAAGAUAUCCUGCUAACUUGAAGCAAAAUCUUCGCCGAGUGGAAUCUGAUAUGACGAGAGCGAGACGUGACUACAUACACGCAUUAAUUUCUCUGUCGAUAAAAUCGCCGCGAAGAAGAUGACACGCGAGGCUGCAAACAGUAUUGAAUGAAACGACUGUUUCGGUGAACAAGAAAUGUGGUACCAUCUUUAUGCAGUUAAUGGCAGGCGAAUGAUACGCGAAACAGCUUGGAAGUAUCAAUGACAAAUUCAGAAAUGUCAGUAGUCAAGUUUCAUCGUACGUAUAAUCCUUAUCAAGAAGCAAAUAUCUUUCCAUCGAGUUAAUGCAAUAUUUAGAGACUACUCUUGCAUUAUAAAUGUGAGGAUAAAAUUUUAUUACCUGACAUAUUUAUUUAUUACUUGGCGUUAUCAGGAAUACCUCUUUUUUCUGCUCUGUGGUUUUAUCAAUUAUUCGUGGCUUGCGACUAUUAACAGACCGAGGAAAUAGUUUAUUCACGUGAAAGCAUUUUCGCGAAAUGAAUAACACUGUACAUCCCGGAGAAUGAAAAUAUAAUAUUAUGUUGUUAAAUGUUUUUAAAUAGAAAAUUAAAAUAUUGUAUUCCCGAAUUGUUGUUAAAACAUUAAGGGUAGAAAUUAAUAUAAACAAACUGCUUAUAUAACAUAUAAACAGUAAUCUAGUAAACAGUAAUUGAUUUUUAUUAGAGAAGAACUGAUUAUUACAAUGAAUUACUACAUAAUGUAAGGUAAAUGUACCGUUUCUAAAUAUGCAAAUCAUGUACAAUUCUGAUAGAUACAAAUUAUAAGUAUUUACACGUAAUGAUGCAACUUUAUUUGCCAGUAUUGUAUAUAAAUAUAUUACAUACUUUGAAGUCAUUGCUCGUCGAAUAUUUGAACUUACUAAUUGAUAUAGGUACAUAACUACAUUUUUAUUAUUACAAAUUAUUAAUAAAGACUGAUAAUUGAGUAUUAUAGCACAAUAUUUAUAUUAUUAUUUAUAACCUUUACUUCUCUGAAACCAAAACGGUGUAGUAUAUUUUUAAGGUGAAUUAAUUUCUUGCGUGGAGAAUGAAGCAUUGACAUUUACGGAUUUCACAGGAAUUUUAAUUUUAGAAACGUAAAACGACUGAAAAAUAUGCAAAGAUUGGGAAUCUGGGUAUGCAUUAAAGCAAAAAGUAAACUAAAUAUUUAUGUGUCUAAAAUGUUGUUACGCUACAGA